CUGUCAGGCUAGAGUGCAGGAGAGGAAGGUAGAAUUCCCGGUGUAGCGGUGAAAUGCGUAGAGAUCGGGAGGAAUACCAGUGGCGAAGGCGGCCUUCUGGACUGACACUGACACUGAGGUGCGAAAGCGUGGGUAGCAAACAGGAUUAGAUACCCUGGUAGUCCACGCCGUAAACGAUGUCGACCAGCCGUUGGGUGCCUAGCGCACUUUGUGGCGAAGUUAACGCGAUAAGUCGACCGCCUGGGGAGUACGGCCGCAAGGUUAAAACUCAAAUGAAUUGACGGGGGCCCGCACAAGCGGUGGAGCAUGUGGUUUAAUUCGAUGCAACGCGAAGAACCUUACCUACUCUUGACAUCCUGCGAAUUCGGUAGAGAUACCUUAGUGCCUUCGGGAGCGCAGAGACAGGUGCUGCAUGGCUGUCGUCAGCUCGUGUUGUGAAAUGUUGGGUUAAGUCCCGUAACGAGCGCAACCCUCGUCCUUAUUUGCCAGCACGUAAUGGUGGGAACUCUAAGGAGACUGCCGGUGACAAACCGGAGGAAGGUGGGGACGACGUCAAGUCAUCAUGGCCCUUACGAGUAGGGCUACACACGUGCUACAAUGGCCGGUACAAAGGGCUGCGAGCUCGCGAGAGUCAGCGAAUCCCUUAAAGCCGGUCUCAGUCCGGAUCGGAGUCUGCAACUCGACUCCGUGAAGUCGGAAUCGCUAGUAAUCGUGAAUCAGAAUGUCACGGUGAAUACGUUCCCGGGCCUUGUACACACCGCCCGU
rnacentral:rRNA from 1 species